rnacentral:rRNA from 1 species
AUGAACGCUGGCGGCGUGCUUAACACAUGCAAGUCGAACGAAGCACUUACGAUUGACUGGAGAGCUUGCUCAAAGGGAUUUGUUGUGACUUAGUGGCGGACGGGUGAGUAACGCGUGGGUAACCUGCCUCAUACAGGGGGAUAACAGUUGGAAACGACUGUUAAUACCGCAUAAGCGCACAGUAUCGCAUGAUACAGUGUGAAAAACUCCGGUGGUAUGAGAUGGACCCGCGUCUGAUUAGCUAGUUGGAGGGGUAACGGCCCACCAAGGCAACGAUCAGUAGCCGACUUGAGAGAGUGAUCGGCCACAUUGGGACUGAGACACGGCCCAAACUCCUACGGGAGGCAGCAGUGGGGAAUAUUGCACAAUGGAGGAAACUCUGAUGCAAGCGACGCCGCGUGAGUGAAGAAGUAUUUCGGUAUGUAAAGCUCUAUCAGCAGGGAAGAUAAUGACGGUACCUGACUAAGAAGCCCCGGCUAACUACGUGCCAGCCGCGGC